CCUUAGCUCGUGGCUGCAUGGCUCCAAUCUCUGCCUCCAUUUUCACAUGAUCUUCUCCUUUUUCUCUUUGGAACAUAUUUGUUGUUGAUUUAGAGUCCACCCAGGUAUCGCAUCAGAAGAUUUAUCUACAAAAUAUGCAUGAAUAAAGAGAGGAAAUUCUUGAAUACACAGAGAUUGAAGACAGGAAAAAUCUGAGCCAGAUAUUGCAGAAACAAGACAUAGUGCAAUGAAUUAUAAAGUAUAAAAUGGACAAAGUAAAUUGGAGGAGAAAGAAGCAGC